rnacentral:rRNA from 1 species
AACGAACGCUGGCGGCAGGCUUAACACAUGCAAGUCGAGCGCCCCGCAAGGGGAGCGGCAGACGGGUGAGUAACGCGUGGGAACGUACCCUUUACUACGGAACAACUCCGGGAAACUGGAGCUAAUACCGUAUGUGCCCUUUGGGGGAAAGAUUUAUCGGUAAAGGAUCGGCCCGCGUUGGAUUAGCUAGUUGGUGGGGUAAAGGCCUACCAAGGCGACGAUCCAUAGCUGGUCUGAGAGGAUGAUCAGCCACAUUGGGACUGAGACACGGCCCAAACUCCUACGGGAGGCAGCAGUGGGGAAUAUUGGACAAUGGGCGCAAGCCUGAUCCAGCCAUGCCGCGUGGAUGAUGAAGGCCUUAGGGUUGUAAAGUUCUUUUACCAGGGAUGAUAAUGACAGUACCUGGAGAAUAAGCUCCGGCUAACUCCGUGCCAGCAGCCGCCGUAA